UCCAGGCUUUAGGAGUCCUGGCUUCCGCUCCCCCAAAACUUUGGAGCACCCUUUCCUAAGUCUUGUCAACUCCCCUUCACUUAGUCCCCAGGGCUGAUUCUUGAACCAUCUCCAGACUCGAGGCUACCUCCUGCCAGAUUUGCGCAACCCUAAAUUCCACUUCAGAAACUCAGUCUCCGCUGUUAAUCGGGAUUUUUCCUGAGAAUGGGCCUGCAGAUGGCUAGUUGUUUGACGCGGGAUCGGCUCCUCUCCGGGUUAUUUCCCUCUCAUUUUCUCCUGGAGUGGAUCGAGAGAGGUUGAGGUCGCCGACGGCAGCUUCAAAUUCCUCCAUAUAGGACUUGUCACUUUGACUGAAGUGAUCUGGAGAACCAAACCCACAUAGGUGACCCUAGCCAAAAGGAGGUUCAGAGGAGCAGCUAAGGGGGCCCAGCGUGGGCUUGAUGUCCCGUCUUCCAGUGCUGGAAAAGGCUUCUUCCUAGGAAUUCAAAUCACCUCUUCGGGCGAAAGCGAGAAACGGCUACAACGAAUUCGGUUUAGACUCAAUCCGACUUUCAGGGUUUCGGGUUCUCCAGACACCCCUUUCAUUUACCCUACUGUCGAGAAAGGAACCUGGCGCUCCUCUGCUGGGCCCUGAUUGCUCAGGCCUUUUGAAGCCGCCACUUUUUACUUAAAACCAAACCUCUGGCCUUUGCCUCCUGCCGCUUGCCCAGCCCCAACCUCUUUCUCCUCCAGCCUUCCAACAUAGGGCUGCCCCGCAGCUAAUCCCUUCACGUAUGGAGGGAGAGGCUGUAUUCUCCUCUUUUCUCCUCUUCCCCAGGUGUGAAUCCCUGGGGCAACGGAGACCCCAAUUAAAAAGUCUCUCAACCA